UACGUAGGGUGCGAGCGUUGUCCGGAAUUAUUGGGCGUAAAGGGCUCGUAGGCGGUUUGUCGCGUCGGGAGUGAAAACCUCGGGCUUAACUCGGGGCUUGCUUUCGAUACGGGCAGACUAGAGGUAUGCAGGGGAGAACGGAAUUCCUGGUGUAGCGGUGAAAUGCGCAGAUAUCAGGAGGAACACCGGUGGCGAAGGCGGUUCUCUGGGCCGUAACUGACGCUGAGGAGCGAAAGCGUGGGGAGCGAACAGG
rnacentral:rRNA from 1 species